UACGUAGGGUGCAAGCGUUAAUCGGAAUUACUGGGCGUAAAGCGUGCGCAGGCGGUUUUGUAAGACUGUCGUGAAAUCCCCGGGCUCAACCUGGGAAUGGCAUUUGGGACUGCAAGGCUGGAGUACGGCAGAGGAGACUGGAAUUCCUGGUGUAGCAGUGAAAUGCGUAGAGAUCAGGAGGAAUACCGAUGGCGAAGGCAGGUCUCUGGGCUGAUACUGACGCUCAUGCACGAAAGCGUGGGGAGCAAACAGG
rnacentral:rRNA from 1 species